rnacentral:pre_miRNA from 1 species
AAGAAGUGUGACAUUCCGUUUGUGAUGAUUACUCUGAUUAUUUAAAUAAAUUUUUUAUGUUGGGAAAACGGGGUGUUACACUUUU